rnacentral:rRNA from 2 species
GAUGAACGCUGGCGGCGUGCCUAAUACAUGCAAGUCGAACGAGUUCUCGUUGAUGAUCGGUGCUUGCACCGAGAUUCAACAUGGAACGAGUGGCGGACGGGUGAGUAACACGUGGGUAACCUGCCCUUAAGUGGGGGAUAACAUUUGGAAACAGAUGCUAAUACCGCAUAGAUCCAAGAACCGCAUGGUUCUUGGCUGAAAGAUGGCGUAAGCUAUCGCUUUUGGAUGGACCCGCGGCGUAUUAGCUAGUUGGUGAGGUAAYGGCUCACCAAGGCGAUGAUACGUAGCCGAACUGAGAGGUUGAUCGGCCACAUUGGGACUGAGACACGGCCCAAACUCCUACGGGAGGCAGCAGUAGGGAAUCUUCCACAAUGGACGCAAGUCUGAUGGAGCAACGCCGCGUGAGUGAAGAAGGCUUUMGGGUCGUAAAACUCUGUUGUUGGAGAAGAAUGGUCGGCAGAGUAACUGUUGUCGGCGUGACGGUAUCCAACCAGAAAGCCACGGCUAACUACGUGCCAGCAGCCGCGGUAAUACGUAGGUGGCAAGCGUUAUCCGGAUUUAUUGGGCGUAAAGCGAGCGCAGGCGGUUUUUUAAGUCUGAUGUGAAAGCCCUCGGCUUAACCGAGGAAGCGCAUCGGAAACUGGGAAACUUGAGUGCAGAAGAGGACAGUGGAACUCCAUGUGUAGCGGUGAAAUGCGUAGAUAUAUGGAAGAACACCAGUGGCGAAGGCGGCUGUCUGGUCUGUAACUGACGCUGAGGCUCGAAAGCAUGGGUAGCGAACAGGAUUAGAUACCCUGGUAGUCCAUGCCGUAAACGAUGAAUGCUAGGUGUUGGAGGGUUUCCGCCCUUCAGUGCCGCAGCUAACGCAUUAAGCAUUCCGCCUGGGGAGUACGACCGCAAGGUUGAAACUCAAAGGAAUUGACGGGGGCCCGCACAAGCGGUGGAGCAUGUGGUUUAAUUCGAAGCAACGCGAAGAACCUUACCAGGUCUUGACAUCUUUUGAUCACCUGAGAGAUCAGGUUUCCCCUUCGGGGGCAAAAUGACAGGUGGUGCAUGGUUGUCGUCAGCUCGUGUCGUGAGAUGUUGGGUUAAGUCCCGCAACGAGCGCAACCCUUAUGACUAGUUGCCAGCAUUUAGUUGGGCACUCUAGUAAGACUGCCGGUGACAAACCGGAGGAAGGUGGGGAUGACGUCAAAUCAUCAUGCCCCUUAUGACCUGGGCUACACACGUGCUACAAUGGAUGGUACAACGAGUUGCGAGACCGCGAGGUCAAGCUAAUCUCUUAAAGCCAUUCUCAGUUCGGACUGUAGGCUGCAACUCGCCUACACGAAGUCGGAAUCGCUAGUAAUCGCGGAUCAGCACGCCGCGGUGAAUACGUUCCCGGGCCUUGUACACACCGCCCGUCACACCAUGAGAGUUUGUAACACCCGAAGCCGGUGGCGUAACCCUUUUAGGGAGCGAGYCGUCUAAGGUGGGACAAAUGAUUAGGGUGAAGUCGUAACAAGGUAGCCGUAGGAGAACCUGC